rnacentral:rRNA from 1 species
AAAUUGAAGAGUUUGAUCAUGGCUCAGAUUGAACGCUGGCGGCAGGCCUAACACAUGCAAGUCGAGCGGCAGCGGGAAGUAGUUUACUACUUUGCCGGCGAGCGGCGGACGGGUGAGUAAUGUCUGGGGAUCUGCCUGAUGGAGGGGGAUAACUACUGGAAACGGUAGCUAAUACCGCAUGACCUCGCAAGAGCAAAGUGGGGGACCUUAGGGCCUCACGCCAUCGGAUGAACCCAGAUGGGAUUAGCUAGUAGGUGGGGUAAUGGCUCACCUAGGCGACGAUCCCUAGCUGGUCUGAGAGGAUGACCAGCCACACUGGAACUGAGACACGGUCCAGACUCCUACGGGAGGCAGCAGUGGGGA